CCUACGGGGGGCUGCAGUGGGGAAUAUUGGACAAUGGGGGGAACCCUGAUCCAGCCAUGCCGCGUGUGUGAAGAAGGCCCUCGGGUUGUAAAGCACUUUCAGUGAGGAAGAACGCCUGGUGGUUAAUACCCAUCAGGAAAGACAUCACUCACAGAAGAAGCACCGGCUAACUCCGUGCCAGCAGCCGCGGUAAUACGGAGGGUGCGAGCGUUAAUCGGAAUUACUGGGCGUAAAGCGCGCGUAGGUGGCUUGAUAAGCCGGUUGUGAAAGCCCCGGGCUCAACCUGGGAACGGCAUCCGGAACUGUCAAGCUAGAGUGCAGGGGAGGAAGGUAGAAUUCCCGGUGUAGCGGUGAAAUGCGUAGAGAUCGGGAGGAAUACCAGUGGCGAAGGCGGCCUUCUGGACUGACACUGACACUGAGGUGCGAAAGCGUGGGUAGCAAACAGGAUUAGAUACCCUUGUAGUC
rnacentral:rRNA from 1 species